ensembl:lncRNA
AGAUCAGUCCCCUGUGAAAUGAUUGGCACCCCUUGAUAUAGAGAGAAAAUAAUGUAUAACAUAAUAUAGGUAUGUGUAAUGUCAACUUCAUUAAUUAUUGAAGGGAACCAAUAUUAAAACAAAAAGCUUAGUGUAAAUGUUACUUACACUCGAGCAUAACUGUGAUCCAGUGGUGACAUACGGAGAUAGAAUGCUGCCAAAAUGCACAGCAUACAACUCACAAAUGUGAAACAUGAUUCGUAAUACACAGCACACAAUCCACACAUGUUAAACCGUGAUCCGCAAAUACAUAGCACACAAUCCACACAUGUAAACCGUGAUCCGUACACAGCAGCAAAUCCAUGUUUGUAAACCAUGAUUCAGUUACAUGGCAUUACCCUAUGUGCACACUGUCGGCUCGCUAGCGCUACAAAGAGGCACGCUCCCAUUCAUUUCCAACGAGAGCAAGCGGCAGGUAGUGGGCGAACCUACUUUCCGAGAAAAAAUCUCCCAGCGACAGCAACAGUUGAGAAAUGUUCAACUGUGUGCUAAUUUCCAGUGAGCGGGCAGUCGUGGAUUUCGCCGACUACCAAUAAGAUAUAAUUCUCAAAAUGGAUGCAUGGAGGUUUUCAUCGUUGGGAUCACGGUUUGGUGAUGUCCAAUUCCCAACCAUGGUCCAAAUUCGACAAGGUAGUCCCGUCCAACUAUCGACCCGCUCCCCCCCCCCAGUGUUCUGCCAAUUUGCGCUGCCAUAAUC